GGGGGGGGGGGGCGGGGGGCGGGGGGGGGGGGGGUCGGGGGGGGGGGGGCGGGGGGGGGGGGGUGCUCGGGGGGCGGACGGGUGCGUAACACGUGAGUCACCUGCCCUUGACUGUGGGAUAACUUCAGGAAACUGGGGCUAAUACCGGAUAGGAGCUCCUGCUGCAUGGUGGGGGUUGGAAAGUUUCGGCGGUUGGGGAUGUACUCGCGCCUUAUCAGCUUGUUGGUGGGGUAGUGGCUUACCAAGGCUUUGACGGGUUGCCGUCCUGAGAGGGUGACCGGCCACAUGGGGACUGAGAGACGGCCCAGACUCAUAAGGGAGGCAGCAGGGGGGAAUAUUGCACAAUGGGCGGAAGCCUGAUGCAGCAACGCCGCGUGCGGGAUGACGGCCUUCGGGUUGUAAACCGCUUUCGCCUGUGACGAAGCGUGAGUGACGGUAAUGGGUAAAGAAGCACAGGCUAACUACGUG
rnacentral:rRNA from 1 species